CUUCUUAUAAAUAACACUAGGAUCAUUGGCUCAUCCUCAGAAUUAAAAAAAAAAAAUAGAACAAAGUCAUUUUAUUUCCGUGACAUAGCUACUCGACUUGAGAAUCAUGAAUUGAUGGUUUUUGUCGACUCUUUGAUCUUAGAAAAGAACGGUGAUUUUCUGUUCUAGCUAUAUCGGAGAAAUAAGAACGAAAAUUUUUUGUCGAUUUGUUGAUCUUAAAAAUGGACGGUGAUUUUCUUUCUGAUGAUUUUAGUAAGUAUUAGUUGUACAUAUCCAUUUAUUAAUUAAUUGACUGAUAUUUUUAGCCAAAAUUAAAAUUUCAUUCUACCUUAAGAUUCUUGUGAUUCUUCGGCGUAGGAGAAUAAAAAAUGGGCGGUUUCUGCCCACUCUUUGAUCUUAGAAAUGGAAAACAAGUUCUCAUCGGGGGAGAGACUAGUGAGUGAGAUAGUAGGGGAAGAUGAAGGAGGAGAGGGCGGUGAUGAAUACAAAGAAUCUGUAAGAAGUAGAUCUAGAGAUGGAGGCGCAGGUGGAUAUGACUUUCUCAUUCUCAAAGAACGAAAGUAAUGACCUCGUUGAUUAAAAUGAACAUCUUGGUUACCAUGCAAGGACUCACGCCAACCAGAUUCUGGCCUUCUCCUUGCACUAGGACUGUUUUUAUAUCGUUGGUUCACAGGGGAACUAAUAAAGGAAUGUCUGAGAGAACUUUGGUUGAGAAGAGGGGGGAAGAGGCAGAGAGAACCAUGGUUGAGAUGGUGGGGGAAGAGAUGAAAGAGGAGGGGACGCAAGUGGGGGAGGUGAAUAUCAAUUUUUCAUCGGUGGAAGCACAAUAGGGGAAGAGAAAAAGGCGAAUGGGGCGGAGGUGGAUACUGAUUUCUCAUCGGCGAAGGGCAUAGUGACAGGGAAGGUAGAUGAGGAGAUGAAGGAGGAGGGGCGGAUGUGAAUACAAAUAAUCCGGCAGAGGAGAAACGCUUUGUAAUCAUUCACCCCAUAACCCAAUCCUACCUGAAUUGGGACGAUGGUGGUGAAUGAUGGAUCAUUAUAUACGAACUAAAAUGUUCCUCGUCCGCCGCCUCAAUUGGAUUAUUUGAGUACAAAUCCGUAGUCUUCUCCUUUGUCUCCACUCCAUCUUAUCUGCCAUUGUGUCCUUUGCCUAUGAGAAAUCGAUAUCUACCUUUGUCCCCUCCUUCACCAUCUCUUCACCCGCUCUCACCGUGCUCUCUGCCGAUGAGAAAUUGAUAUCCACCUCCGCUUUCUGCGGGUUCUUAGCAUCCAAUUGCAUCUCCUCCUCCUUCAUCUUGUGCCCCACCAUCUCACCCUGGGUUUUUUUGUCUCCUCCCCCACCUUCUUAUCCAAGGUUCCCUUGGACACCGCCUUCAUUAGUUCCCCCUCUGACCCAACACUAUAAAAGCAGUAUUAGUGCAAAAAAGACCAAAAUUUGACUGGCGUGGUUCCUUGCAUGGUAAUCAGGAAGUUCGCUUUAAACAACCAAUUCAUUCUUUUCCUCUAUUGUCAGUAAAAAAUUUCAAUGCUUUUUCAUUGAGAGUUGAGAAUCACGAGGAAGAGAUAAUUAAAAAAUCAAAGGCAUAAGCAGCGAUAAAGGAGUUCACAUAAUAGGAUUUUGGAGAAAACUAAAACAAUAGCUUCUUAUAUGAAGAGUCAUGGGUCCAUUAGCACAUCACAUAUGUCUGGCAAAAGAAUUUUCCCUUUGCUAAGUCGUGACAUGUUGAAGAAGUCGUCAUCAUUUCUUUGCAGAGGAUGAAGAAGUGGUGACAUGAAAGAAAAGUAGUUUAAUUCUAUAUUUAUUUCCAGUCAAGUGUACAAUUAUUUUAUGUUGGAUUACUUAUCCAUUAUCUGCUCUUCUAGAGAUUUUAAUUUUCAAGCAUACUAGUUAGUCGAAAUUAAGAUUUUGUUUAGAAUGCUUCUACAAUACUACAGAUCACUAUAUGCUCUGUAAAAUUUUUUUAUAAUGAUUCUGAUCGUUUAACCGA